AGAGUUUGAUCAUGGCUCAGAUUGAACGCUGGCGGUAGGCUUAACACAUGCAAGUCGUGCGAGAAAGUAUCUUCGGAUAUGAGUAGAGCGGCGGACGGGUGAGUAACGCGUAGGAAUCUACCUAGUAGAAGGGGAUAGCCCGGGGAAACCCGGAUUAAUACCGUAUACCUCCUUCGGGAGAAAGAAGGCCUCUCUUUGAAGCUUUCGCUACUAGAUGAGCCUGCGUAAGAUUAGCUUGUUGGUGAGGUAAAGGCUCACCAAGGCUACGAUCUUUAGCGGGUCUGAGAGGACGAUCCGCCACAUUGGGACUGAGACACGGCCCAGACUCCUACGGGAGGCAGCAGUGGGGAAUAUUGGACAAUGGGCGCAAGCCUGAUCCAGCCAUACCGCGUGUGUGAAGAAGGCCUUCGGGUUGUAAAGCACUUUAAGCAGGGAGAAAAAGUUAUAAGCUAAUACCUUAUAACCUUGAUGUUACCUGCAGAAUAAGCACCGGCUAAUUCCGUGCCAGCAGCCGCGGUAAUACGGAAGGUGCAAGCGUUAAUCGGAAUUACUGGGCGUAAAGCGCGCGUAGGUGGUUUGUUAAGUUGGAUGUGAAAGCCCUGGGCUCAACCUAGGAACUGCAUCCAAAACUAACUCACUAGAGUACGAUAGAGGGAGGUAGAAUUCAUAGUGUAGCGGUGGAAUGCGUAGAUAUUAUGAAGAAUACCAGUGGCGAAGGCGGCCUCCUGGAUCUGUACUGACACUGAGGUGCGAAAGCGUGGGUAGCGAACAGGAUUAGAUACCCUGGUAGUCCACGCCGUAAACGAUGUCAACUAUCUGUUGGAAAGCAUUGCUUUUCAGUGGAGCAGCUAACGUAAUAAGUUGACCGCCUGGGGAGUACGGCCGCAAGGCUAAAACUCAAAUGAAUUGACGGGGACCCGCACAAGCGGUGGAGCAUGUGGUUUAAUUCGAUGCAACGCGAAAAACCUUACCUAUGCUUGACAUACUUGGAAUACUUUGUAAUGAAGUAGUGCCUUCGGGAGCCAGGAUACAGGUGCUGCAUGGCUGUCGUCAGCUCGUGUCGUGAGAUGUUCCGUUAAGUCGGAUAACGAGCGCAACCCUUACCCUUAUUUGCCAGCGAUUCGGUCGGGAACUAUAAGGGGACUGCCGGUGAUAAACCGGAGGAAGGUGAGGACGACGUCAAGUCAUCAUGGCCCUUACG
rnacentral:rRNA from 1 species